rnacentral:rRNA from 1 species
ACUCCUACGGGAGGCAGCAGUGGGGAAUAUUGCACAAUGGGCGGAAGCCUGAUGCAGCAACGCCGCGUGCGGGAUGACGGCCUUCGGGUUGUAAACCGCUUUCAGCAGGGACGAAGCGUGAGUGACGGUACCUGCAGAAGAAGCACCGGCUAACUACGUGCCAGCAGCCGCGGUGAUACGUAGGGUGCGAGCGUUGUCCGGAUUUAUUGGGCGUAAAGAGCUUGUAGGCGGUUGGUUGCGUCGAAAGUGCAAACUCAGGGCUUAACUCUGAGCCUGCUUUCGAUACGGGCUGACUGGAGGAAGGUAGGGGAGAAUGGAACUCCCGGUGUAGUGGUGGAAUGCGUAGAUAUCGGGAGGAACACCUGUGGUGAAAGCGGCAUUCUGGCCCUCACCUGACGCUGAGGUGCGAAAGCGUGGGUAGCAAACAGGAUUAGAUACCCUGGUAGUC